AGCACUCAUGCUUUUGCUCAACUUUAGACAAAGACUUACAAAGAAGUGCAAAAAAUAGUCUCUUGCAACCAGGAAUUCAUUGUUCGGUGAAUUUUGAUACAUAAAAGAGGAAAUAUU
ensembl:snoRNA